UCAAGCCUCCUAGGAUAUCACGGAUGGUGUCUUCCACAUUCCCUCUGUAAGGCACUUCUACCGUUUUCCCCUCUGAAGCUCUGGAGAUAAAGACAUCUUCAAGGGCAAACUUCAUUUUUGGAUGAAAGUUUUGUUUUGUUUUGACCCUGACUAGUCAGGUGCCAAGAUUUUCCAUCCAUAAUUCCACACAUUUCAAAGAAGGCACCUUUUCCACUGUAUGACAAACAAAUGAAAGUAAAGAAACUCUGCAGGCCAACAAAGCAUUAGAAGGAAAACCAGUGCAAUUCUUGAAAGUUGAUUCUUGUUUCUUGAAUUCAUGGGAAGACUCCUAUUGAAAUAAAGCUUUUUGUAGCAAUGAGAUCAUAA